GAUGAACGCUAGCUACAGGCUUAACACAUGCAAGUCGAGGGGAAACGACAUCGAAAGCUUGCUUUGAUGGGCGUCGACCGGCGCACGGGUGAGUAACGCGUAUCCAACCUUCCCGCAACUGGGGGAUAACCUUGCGAAAGUAAGACUAAUACCCCAUGGUCUCCACGGAUGGCAUCUGAAAUGGAGUAAAGGUUUCGGCCGGUUGCGGAUGGGGAUGCGUCCGAUUAGCUUGACGGCGGGUAACGGCCCACCGUGGCAUCGAUCGGUAGGGGUUCUGAGAGGAAGGUCCCCCACAUUGGAACUGAGACACGGUCCAAACUCCUACGGGAGGCAGCAGUGAGGAAUAUUGGUCAAUGGGCGAAGCCUGAACCAGCCAAGUAGCGUGAAGGACGACUGCCCUAUGGGUUGUAAAC
rnacentral:rRNA from 1 species